AUAAAGGUUCUUUUGAGAACUAUCAAAAAAACGAAAGAAAAAAAA
rfam:Plasmodium yoelii yoelii 17XNL contig MALPY01311, whole genome shotgun sequence.